UGCGUAGGCGGGUUGGUAGGUCAGAUGUGAAAGCCCACGGCUCAACCGUGGAAUUGCGUUUGAAACCACUAGUCUUGAGGGGAUCAGAGGAGAGCGGAACUGAUGGUGGAGCGGUGAAAUGCGUUGAUAUUAUCAGGAACACCGGUGGCGAAAGCGGCUCUCUGGGAUCCUUCUGACGCUGAGGCACGAAAGCUAGGGGAGCGAACAGGAUUAGAUACCCUGGUAGUCC
rnacentral:rRNA from 1 species